GAUGAACGCUGGCGGCGUGCCUAAUACAUGCAAGUCGAGCGAACGGAUUAAGAGCUUGCUCUUAUGAAGUUAGCGGCGGACGGGUGAGUAACACGUGGGUAACCUGCCCAUAAGACUGGGAUAACUCCGGGAAACCGGGGCUAAUACCGGAUAACAUUUUGAACAGCAUGGUUCGAAAUUGAAAGGCGGCUUCGGCUGUCACUUAUGGAUGGACCCGCGUCGCAUUAGCUAGUUGGUGAGGUAACGGCUCACAAAGGCAACGAUGCGUAGCCGACCUGAGAGGGUGAUCGGCCACACUGGGACUGAGACACGGCCCAGACUCCUACGGGAGGCAGCAGUAGGGAAUCUUCCGCAAUGGACGAAAGUCUGACGGAGCAACGCCGCGUGAGUGAUGAAGGCUUUCGGGUCGUAAAACUCUGUUGUUAGGGAAGAACAAGUGCUAGUUGAAUAAGCUGGCACCUUGACGGUACCUAACCAGAAAGCCACGGCUAACUACGUGCCAGCCGCCGCAGUAA
rnacentral:rRNA from 1 species